rnacentral:rRNA from 1 species
UACAGAGGUCUCAAGCGUUGUUCGGAUUCAUUGGGCGUAAAGGGUGCGUAGGCGGCGCGGUAAGUCGGGUGUGAAAUCUCGGAGCUUAACUCCGAAACUUCGUUCGAUACUGCCGUGCUUGAGGACUGGAGAGGAGACUGGAAUUUACGGUGUAGCGGUGAAAUGCGUAGAUAUCGUAAGGAAGACCAGUGGCGAAGGCGGGUCUCUGGACAGUUCCUGACGCUGAGGCACGAAGGUCAGGGGAGCAAACGGG